rnacentral:rRNA from 1 species
CAAUGAAUAUUUAAAUAGCCGCGGAAUUUUUACCGUGCUAAGGUAGCAUAAUCAUUAGUCCUUUAAUUAAGGACUUGUAUGAAAGAUGUCACAUUUCAAUUCCUUUUUUAAUAUUUAUUAUUUAAAUUAAAUUAAAAAUCAAAAUAUUUUUAUAAUUAUAAUAGACGACAAGACCCUACUGAACUUAACUUUUGUUUCGCUGGGGCAGCGAAAAAAAAACCAUUUUUUUUAUGAAAAAUUCAAUAAAUGACCCAAUAUAGUUGAUCAUUUGCUCAAGUUACCAUAGGGAUAACAGCGUAAUUUUCUUUUGAAGCUCUUAUUUAAAAGAAAGAUUGCGACCUCGAUGUUGAAUUAAUGAAACUUUUUAUUAAUGCAAUCAUUAAAA